GAUUGGUGCUUGCAUCAUGAUUUACAUUUGAGUGAGUGGCGAACUGGUGAGUAACACGUGGGAAACCUGCCCAGAAGCGGGGGAUAACACCUGGAAACAGAUGCUAAUACCGCAUAACAACUUGGACCGCAUGGUCCGAGUUUGAAAGAUGGCUUCGGCUAUCACUUUUGGAUGGUCCCGCGGCGUAUUAGCUAGAUGGUGAGGUAACGGCUCACCAUGGCAAUGAUACGUAGCCGACCUGAGAGGGUAAUCGGCCACAUUGGGACUGAGACACGGCCCAAACUCCUACGGGAGGCAGCAGUAGGGAAUCUUCCACAAUGGACGAAAGUCUGAUGGAGCAACGCCGCGUGAGUGAAGAAGGGUUUCGGCUCGUAAAACUCUGUUGUUAAAGAAGAACAUAUCUGAGAGUAACUGUUCAGGUAUUGACGGUAUUUAACCAGAAAGCCACGGCUAACUACGUGCCAGCAGCCGCGGUAAUACGUAGGUGGCAAGCGUUGUCCGGAUUUAUUGGGCGUAAAGCGAGCGCAGGCGGUUUUUUAAGUCUGAUGUGAAAGCCUUCGGCUCAACCGAAGAAGUGCAUCGGAAACUGGGAAACUUGARUGCAGAAGAGGACAGUGGAACUCCAUGUGUAGCGGUGAAAUGCGUAGAUAUAUGGAAGAACACCAGUGGCGAAGGCGGCUGUCUGGUCUGUAACUGACGCUGAGGCUCGAAAGUAUGGGUAGCAAACAGGAUUAGAUACCCUGGUAGUCCAUACCGUAAACGAUGAAUGCUAAGUGUUGGAGGGUUUCCGCCCUUCAGUGCUGCAGCUAACGCAUUAAGCAUUCCGCCUGGGGAGUACGGCCGCAAGGCUGAAACUCAAAGGAAUUGACGGGGGCCCGCACAAGCGGUGGAGCAUGUGGUUUAAUUCGAAGCUACGCGAAGAACCUUACCAGGUCUUGACAUACUAUGCAAAUCUAAGAGAUUAGACGUUCCCUUCGGGGACAUGGAUACAGGUGGUGCAUGGUUGUCGUCAGCUCGUGUCGUGAGAUGUUGGGUUAAGUCCCGCAACGAGCGCAACCCUUAUUAUCAGUUGCCAGCAUUAAGUUGGGCACUCUGGUGAGACUGCCGGUGACAAACCGGAGGAAGGUGGGGAUGACGUCAAAUCAUCAUGCCCCUUAUGACCUGGGCUACACACGUGCUACAAUGGAUGGUACAACGAGUUGCGAACUCGCGAGAGUAAGCUAAUCUCUUAAAGCCAUUCUCAGUUCGGAUUGUAGGCUGCAACUCGCCUACAUGAAGUCGGAAUCGCUAGUAAUCGCGGAUCAGCAUGCCGCGGUGAAUACGUUCCCGGGCCUUGUACACACCGCCCGUCACACCAUGAGAGUUUGUAACACCCAAAGUCGGUGGGGUAACC
rnacentral:rRNA from 2 species